GACGUAGGGCGCGAGCGUUAUCCGGAAUUAUUGGGCGUAAAGAGCUCGUAGGCGGUUUGUCGCGUCUGCCGUGAAAGUCUGGGGCUCAACUCCGGAUCUGCGGUGGGUACGGGCAGACUAGAGUGAUGUAGGGGGAGACUGGAAUUCCUGGUGUAGCGGUGAAAUGCGCAGAUAUCAGGAGGAACACCGAUGGCGAAGGCAGGUCUCUGGGCAUUAACUGACGCUGAGGAGCGAAAGCAUGGGGAGCGAACAGG
rnacentral:rRNA from 1 species